UCAUGACGAUUUAAAUAAAAAGUAUAAUCUUUAUUGCAUAUAAAGAAAUAUAAGAAAGUUUAGAACAAUAAAUCAUCUCUGUGUCGUUACAAAAUUUCUUCUUCACUCCCGAAACUGCUAGCCUAGCUGCUCAUGGAGUAGUCCCUUUCUAUUCCUCUAUGCAAAGCUCUAGAAGAAUUUCUGGGCUCUCCCUCCAAUGGGAGUACAAAAACCUUUUUAUAGGUGUUAGGAGGGAGGAACUUUACAUGAUUUUCCGAUGUGGGACUAAAGAAAAUACUAAUGACUAAAAAAUGGAUGGAUGAGAUGGAA
rnacentral:lncRNA from 1 species